GGAAGUCAGCAAGUCAUUUAUGUAGCUUCCAGAUAUGGAUUGGCUCUAAGGGCUGGGAAAGUUGGGCUAGAGCAGGGGUCCCCAAACUUUCUUACUCAUGAGCCACAGUCAAAUGUAAAAAGGCUUGGAGAACAACACAAGUAUCAUAAAAGUUCAUGGAGGUGCCAAAUAAGUGAUAACAUUGGCUAUUAGGGGCCUCUAUGCACCCUAUCAGCUUACAGGAGGCUUUAUUUGGAAGUAAAUCUUGUUUUUAUUCAACCAAAACUUGCCACCAAGUCAGGAAUUCAAAAAUAACUACCUGCUUUUGAGACACUGAGCACUGAGAGCAACAUGUUGCUCGUGAGACACUGGUUGGGGAUCACUGGGCUAGAGUUUGAAUGGGGCUGGACACAUACCACAGCUGGAUGAUGCAGACUGGCAGCUUCUCUCAUGAGCUGCCCACCAGUCGCCUCCUGGCAUCUCUCUUCCUCCACUCCGCCAGCAGCAGGGGUGCUGGCGGGGAAGAAGGGGGGGGGUAAAAAUGGCUUUGGCCGGUGCCUAGCAGCUGACUUAGAACUGAUGUGGACUAUACACUGCUAAAACAAAGCAUCAUGAAGGCCAGAGGCAGGUGUUGACGUAAUGUGAUUUCUGCCCAGUGUUUUGAAUGUCAAAGUGAAGAAAUUAAGUGAAGUGCGGGUAAAUGGGCAGAGCAAUCAUGGACAAGUAAAGGGGAUGGAAGAUUUAAGCUAUGAGGUUAGACUGUC
rnacentral:ncRNA from 1 species